ensembl:lncRNA
GUGCAAUUCAAAAACUGUACAAUCUGCUCAAAUCCCUUUUUUUCCUAGCAGUAUCCUUUGAGUCCCAACAUAGCUGAGCUCUGAGGGCUUCUUCUAGCCUCUUUCAACUGAGACUAUGGGCUCAACUCUUGGAAGCCAUGAUAGACAGCGAGGUGGGUCCCUGAGGAUUCCGGAUGUAAGCCCCAUGUGUCACUCCUCCUGUGCUGCCUUGGAUAUGAAUUUCCUCAUAUGCUGAGAGUUUUAACAUGGCUUUGCUUAGGAAUCCAGCCCAGACCAAGUGGAUGGUGAAUUCUGGAGAAGAGAAAACAACCUUGGAAAUGGGUGGCCUUGAACUCACAGUAAUCCUCUUGCCUCAGCCUCCCAAGGGCCUGGAUUACAGGAAGUGGGGAGCGAACCAUCCAU